AAGGUUUUCCCUCAUUCAGAACAUAGAAACUGUGUUAGGCACAUUUAUCAAAAUUUCCAUAAAGUACACAAGGGAGAGCAGCUCAAGAAUGAUCUAUGGUCUAUAGCAAGGUCCACUAAUGAAGCUGCAUACACCAGGAACAUGGAUCUAAUGAAAGAACACAGCUUGGGUGCCUACACCUGGGUUGAGAAAUUGGAGCCAAGAACAUGGAUCAAAGCAUUCUUUGACCCGUUUUGCAAGUGUGACAUAUUACUAAACAAUAUGUCAGAAGUGUUCAAUAGUUACAUUUUGGAUGCGAGGGAAAUGCCAAUUAAGUCAAUGUUGGACCAGAUAAUGUGGAAGCUAACAAACAGGAUUGUUGGUAAGCAGAGAGAGGCAGAGAAAUGGACAGGCAGAUUAUGUCCCAAGAUACAGAAGAAAUUGGACAAGUAUGUGGAGUGGGCAAAGAACUGCAGGGUGCAAGAGUAUGGGCAAGGUGUUUUCAAGGUUUUCUCUUUGAACAACACAUACAUUGUUGACCUGAACAUGCUUUCUUGUGAAUGCAAAAGGUGGGUACUAUCUGGCAUACCUUGCCAUCAUGCAAUUGCAUGUUUUAGGCAUGAGAGAAUUGAGCCAGAGAGCAUGGUCCAUUCAUGCUACACUGUUGAGGAAUAUAAGAAGUGUUAUGGAUUUAAUAUGAUGCCAAUGAGGGACCCACAACAAUGGGAAAAAAAUGCAUGGCAUUGCUGUUCACCCACCCCUGUACACAAAAGUAAUGGGCAGGCCUAAGAAGAACAGGAAAAAAGAUCCAGAAGAGAAGAAAGACAAGACCGGGGUGAAAAAAUUGAGCAAACAUGGUGUGACCAUGCAUUGUUCUGUUUGUGGAGCUGCUGACCAUAACAAGAAGGGCCACCACAAUCAUGUUAAUCAAACAACAACUGAGGAAACAACAAUUGAAGAAGAAUAUGACGACCCAAGCAUAAUUGCUAUACCAUCCUUUGCUUAUAUAUUUUCCCCUCUAAUCUUCAAACUAUACUUAAACAUUGAUACAUUGGCUUCACCUGUUGCGGAACAUCAUGCCACACAGAGUCUACCCUCAGCUCGAUCCAACACAAACCCCUGACUCAAUGGUUUACAAGAUGCAAGAAAUGGAGAAGUUUACAUAUCCAGCACCUAGGGAAUUUGCCCCCCUACCUGAGUCUAGCUUCAUUGCCAAUGCCAGAGACUCAAUUCCUAUGGUUAGAGUUACAACAGCCAUGUCAAGAGGCAGGGUGAGAAAGACUGCUAAUGAGAAAGUUGUAAGGCCAAGAAAAAAGCAGGCAAGGGAAGGCAAUAUUGCAAUGGGAAGCAAUGUUGCAACAACUGGAAGCAAUGCUCCAACAAGUGGGGCCAAUGCAAGAGGAGGUGGCAAUGCAAGAGGAGGGGCCAAUGCAAGA